rnacentral:sRNA from 1 species
CCUCGCAGCACGUGAUGACGCAGGACGUAGUGUCUCCCUACAUUUCUUCCAGCCAGAGGUUCUGGAGGCGGGGUGGUGUUCAACUAGUACCUGUUUUCCAGCCUGGAAGGGAGUGUGAGGCCACAUUAUGUCUGGGCAAAUUCCUUGUACCCAGACAUCAAGAUUUAUUAGGCAAAGAGCUUAGCUCCUCCUAGAGUUGAGUCAUCUAAGUUUUGACAAAGAUUUUACAUUGAGCUGGUUGAUAAAUACUGUGACUGAAGAGCACUCUAAGGGGAAAGCUACAGAAGCCCUACAGAGUUGAGCCUUGAAGGCCAGGAGUUUUAUAAUACCUUUCCCUCCCACAUUUACUGUAUCUACAGAAGGUAAUAAAAUAUCUUUUUCUUCAUCAGACUUCAGGAAGAUGUGUAGGAAAGAAGCAUAGGGGUGCUGAGAAAUGGGAGGAUAGGUACUAAGACUAUGACCAGAGAGCUGAGCCUUUGUUGGUAGUCCGGUAGAUCUGGUGGUAGGAAAAAAAAAUGUAAUGGAUACUCAGAAAACCAAGAAACCAAUCAUCAAGCCUUAAUAAAGAAGUUGGGUCUCAUUCUGUAGGCGAUGGGACACUUUUAAAGCCUGAAUUUGGAAGAUACUAUUCCUGCUAUCUCGGGAAAGUCACUGUGGGAAGAGGUGGCAAUUCUGUUACUCGGGAGCAAAGUGGAUGAAGAGAGAGUCGCUGGGAAGUUGAUGAAGUCUGAAGCCGUGCAGGUGCAAGUCCGAUGGCACAGCAAUAGGGAUGAGGGAGAAGAAGGCAGAGAUAGUAAAGGAGGGAAGUUGGCUGUUAACCACCAAAGAAUAGAGGCAGAGCAGUGCAUUUUGGGAGUCAGGGCGGUGAUGCUGGACAUGGUGGAGACGCAGAUGAAGUUGGGUGCGUUUUAUAGAUUUGAGAGAGAUUAGAAGAGAGGAUGCAUGGCAGCAAGGAAAAGGACAUCCAGAAAGCUAAGAACAACAAAUGGUGCCGAGACUGUGGAGGAAGAGGAACCCUUCAUCACUGUGGGUGGUUGUGUGAACUGGUCCAGCCGCUGUGGAACUCUGAAUGGAGGUCCUCAGCAAACUAAAAACAGAUCGGCAAGAUGGCCAGCUAUACUACUUCUGUGCACAUAUCCGAAGGCCCUUCAUUCAUAACAGGAUCAGAGUCCAGGCUUUCCAGACUGUACUGAGGUGGCCUAAGUGACCAAUGCAAACACUGUGAUGGCUAUUCAACACGUGAAGCCCAACGCUGUGACAUCAUUUGGACACCAUGCACACUACUAACUUGAGGGUAAUCAGAGCUGCGGACUGAUGGAGUGGAAAGAGUGCUGGGCAGAGGGCCAGAGUCUCAGAGUUCAAGCUUGUUGCUGUAACAUUCGCCAGCUCUGCAUCCUCAGCAAAGAAAUUGCCCGAGUCUUGGAAUCUCUGGAUGACGGACAUGGCCAAUGCUCCUGGCUUCACAUGAAGACGAAAUCAGACCUUAAAUUUUCAUUCGGCAUUCUGUCUGCAGGUUCCUGAUUAUGAAGCUGGAAAUACAUGUGGAGGAUCCUUGACAUGCCCGCUCUGAGCCAUGCCUCCACUCACGGGCCCUGUUUUGACUUCAGGUUUAAAGUCCAGCUGAGUGACUCUCUGUGUUUUCACCAUGGGGCUGCGUCUUUCUUCAAUAUCCAGCUGAGCAGAAAGAAGCAAUGUCCGUCUCUGCAAUCUGUUCUAGUGCAGACACCCGCGACAGGCGACGUCAUCAACUACUUUAGCGUUUCAAGACAAGAAGAGAGAAACAUCUGGGAAGGAAGAGCAUGACAACAUCAGCCUCUGAGGUUUGCAGCCUAGUGUGUCAGCCAUGAUGACUGCAAUCUCUGCUAAAGUUACCAGAAAUAGAUUUCAACUCACAGUGCAGUUUCUCCAUUAGAGCAUUCCGUUUCUAAUGCUCCAUUACCCAGCAAGUGGAAUGCCACCAGAGAAGGAGGUAGAGUCAGCACCAAGCAUCAAAGAAAGAAGAGCAUCUCCCGUGAGUACACACAAAGAAGGAUUGUAUAGUGCUCACUGCAAGCUAACAGGUCAGAUAAGUGAGUUGACUCAUUACUGAAGUGCGAGUUUGUAAACUUCGACUGUGUGGUGGAGCACAGCAGACAGCAGACCAAAGCAAAUUCACAUUCCAGAACUUCCUCAGCCACAGGCUGGAUCUGCUGCCCUGAAAUGGGUGCUUUCGUUUUCUAGGUUCUGCUUUUCUCUUCUGUAAAGUCGUGUGGCUGAUCUCAAAGGUUCUUUCCAGCUCAGGAUCUCUAUGUUUCUAAGCAAGGAACCACGUGCUUUACUGCAAACUCAAGAGCCAGUCAUAAGGGCAAGACACCUUUCACUCUUACUGUCUGCAAAGUCAUACGGAAACAAAAUGAGUAAAAGUGUUCCUUCUAGAAUAAAGCAGAAAGUGCCCUCAUAUGCCUCUGUGGGGAGCAUGACUGUAUUUUGACUCUUUGGCACAUGUAAUUUUUAAAAAAGUUGGGACUCACAUCAUAAAUAAUGUUGAAUGGAGCUUACCAACAUCCAUACAGAAGUACCUAGCAACUUUUCAUGACUGCACUGGGGGAUUCCUUACAUCAAAGACACAUCGUAUUUAUCUCAACAAAGAUACUGGAUGAGAACUUGAAAUGAAUAUGUUAAGCAAUGAGUAGUUUUCAGUCACAAUCCCUGUAAAAACAAAUUUGGGGAAAUUACCAAGCAACAUAUGUGAGGCCAGAGAGAUGCAUUGCUGACUUCUUUUUGUUUACCUGCUAGUAGAGUAUGUUUUAAAUAUUCAUUAAAUUAUUUAAUAUAGGACUUUGAUUAUUAACCUCCAACAAAUAGCUACAUCUUAAAAAUUAAAAUUACAGCUAAGCUCUGGCCUUCAUGUGGGUCUGGAACAACUGGAAUGGAGGCUAUGCAAAAUCUGUUGCCUGUAUGUGGAAUAUGUUGUACUACCUGGGCUACAUUGUGAGUCCUCUGUGGAAGAAGUGCCUAGCCUCAAAGACAUGAAGUGCCAUUGUUGGAGGUCAGGUAUACCCAGGGGGUCCUACCCACUCAGAAGAG